UAUUUAUCAAGCAUGGAUGCAAUUGGGAUUCCUUCUAGUAUGAAAGAUGAAUGGAAAUGUGGGAAACCAUUACUUGGUGGCCGGUCGUGCAAUAAAUAUUCAUGAUUAUAAAUUGGUGGAGCAAGCACAUCAUUAUGUUCUACAAAAUACAACCAUUGUACAACCUUUUAUUGAGUAAGUGUCAUAUAUGUGAAUAUAUGAGUUUGAAACUGUAGCUAAUGUUUAUACAAACCAUGACAUGCCUAUUUUUCCUUGAUAGUGAACAUAUGAAAUAUUUGAAGACAAAAUAUCCUCAUCAAUCAAAGAGAGUAAAGUGGCUAGAGGAUGAACAUGUGCGCACAUUUAGUUAUUGGCUUAGAAAAAAUGUAUGAAACUCAAUAUUCAUACUCCUCUUAAAAUUUAAUGCUUUCAAAAUUUUAAAUUACAUUAACUUACAUAUCAUUAAUGAACCUUAUAGGUUUCAGAUGACAUAAGUAAGAAAGAACUUAUUGAAAAUGAACUUAAGUGGCUUGCGCAAGGACCAAGACAAUAAGUUCUUACUUACCCUGAAUAUAUCAUUAAUGGUUGUCGUUACCAUAUCAAGGAGCGUGAUGAGGCACGAGUCAACCAAAAUAGUAGUGUCAGUAUUGUGGCAUCGACCAUGUAAAUUGCAAGUUCCAAAGAUAAGAAUCAUGUGCUUGGUGACAUGUAUUUUUAUGGGAUUGUCAUAUAGAUAUGGGACCUUGAUUAUAACAUGUUUAACAUUUGUGUUUUUAAGUGUGAUUGGGUUGAUAGUAAGAAUGGUGUCAAAGUUGAUGAGUUUGGUUUUACAUUAGUUGAUUUGAGCAAGAUAGGACAUAAAUCAGAUCCUUUCAUUUUGGCAACACAAGCCCAACAAGUAUUUUAUGUAGAAGAUCAAGUUGAUCCAAGAUGGUCUAUUGUAUUAUCAAGGCCAAAAAUGGAGUUGUUUGACAUAGAAGGUGAUGGCAACAUAGCCGAUAAUGACAUGGAGCAUCACCCAUUUGUGAAUGGGAUGCCUAAUAUUAAGUCUUUUGAUGAAGUUGAAAAUUAUGAUGAAAUUUGUAUGCGUACUGAUUGUGAGGGGAUUUGGAUUGAACAUUAAGCUUAAUUUUUUUUUUUUGUUUUUUUUUUUUUUUUUUGGGUUAUGCUUUGUGACUACUAAGUGUAUUAUGUGAUUUUUGAGUUAUUGUUAAUAUACAAUGUGAUGCUCAACAAUGUUAUGUUUUUAUUUUAUUCUUUUCAAAUAUAUUUUUUACUAUUAUAUUCUUGCUAAGUUAUUCUAAAUAAAUGUAGUUAGUAUCAUAUUUAUAUAUAUUGAGAUUUAAGAUUAAUUUUCAUGUAUUGCAAAGUUUGUACAACAAUGAUUUAUUACUACUUAUGAAAUUAUUUUGUAACUAAUUUCUUUAGAUUUAGUUGAGAUACAUUUUCAAGUGUUGUUUAUUAGUGCAUAAUUCUUAAUUAUUUGGGAACUUGGGCAAAAAGUGCAACAUCUUUAUGGAUGUCUCAACCAAGAAGAGAUAAAGAGCAGAUGGAUGGAAAGGAAGGAAAACAGAAGAUUACUUCACCAAAAAGGUUCAGAGGCCCAACUAUAAAACCUAAAAUUGCUAAAAAGAGAAGUGAAGGAGUGAAAAUUGACAUUCAAUAUAAUGAUGAUGGUGAGGGAGUGGGUGAGGGAUAUGUACAACUUGUAUCAUACUUGGGGGUGCUAGCACGAACCAUGGUGCCAAUAUAUCAUACUGAUUGGAGAGUAGUGCUUGUAGAAUUAAAGGAGAAAUUAUGGGAUUGCAUUAAGAUGCAAAAGACAGGUUCAAGGAAACCUAUUGAUAGAUGGGUCUUGUGGAAGUUAGAAAGAUUGAAAAAAUGUGAAUAUGAUGAUGUUACGAGGCCUAUAGCGGAAAA